rnacentral:rRNA from 1 species
AGCGAACGCUGGCGGCAGGCCUAACACAUGCAAGUCGAACGAACCUUUCGGGGUUAGUGGCGGACGGGUGAGUAACACGUGGGAACGUGCCUUUAGGUUCGGAAUAACUCAGGGAAACUUGUGCUAAUACCGAAUGUGCCCUUCGGUGGAAAGAUUAAUCGCCUUUAGAGCGGCCCGCGUCUGAUUAGCUAGUUGGUUGAGGUAAUGGCUCACCAAGGCGACGAUCAGUAGCUGGUCUGAGAGGAUGAUCAGCCACAUUGGGACUGAGACACGGCCCAAACUCCUACGGGAGGCAGCAGUGGGGAAUCUUGCGCAAUGGGCGAAAGCCUGACGCAGCCAUGCCGCGUGAAUGAUGAAGGUCUUAGGAUUGUAAAAUUCUUUCACCGGGGACGAUAAUGACGGUACCCGGAGAAGAAGCCCCGGCUAACUUCGUG